UACAGAGGGUGCGAGCGUUAAUCGGAAUUACUGGGUGUAAAGCGCACGUAGGUGGUCGACGUAAGUCGGGUGUGAAAGCCCCGGGCUCAACCUGGGAAUUGCAUUCGAGACUGCAUUGCUGGAGUACGGAAGAGGAGGGGCGGAAUUCCCGGUGUAGCGGUGAAAUGCGUAGAUAUCGGGAGGAACAUCAGUGGCGAAGGCGGCCCUCCUGGUCCAGUACUGACACUCAAGUGCGAAAGCGUGGGGAGCAAACAGG
rnacentral:rRNA from 1 species